UUCGAGUGGCGGACGGGUGAGUAACGCGUGGGUAACCUGCCUUACACAGGGGGAUAACACCUGGAAACAGGUGCUAAUACCGCAUAAGCGCACAGGGCCGCAUGGCCCGGUGUGAAAAACUCCGGUGGUGUAAGAUGGACCCGCGUCUGAUUAGCUUGUUGGCGGGGUAGGGGCCCACCAAGGCGACGAUCAGUAGCCGGCCUGAGGGGGUGGACGGCCACAUUGGGACUGAGACACGGCCCAAACUCCUACGGAAGGCAGCAG
rnacentral:rRNA from 1 species